AGGCGACGACGGGUAGCCGGCCUGAGAGGGUGACCGGCCACACUGGGACUGAGACACGGCCCAGACUCCUACGGGAGGCAGCAGUGGGGAAUAUUGCACAAUGGGCGGAAGCCUGAUGCAGCGACGCCGCGUGAGGGAUGACGGCCUUCGGGUUGUAAACCUCUUUCAGCAGGGAAGAAGCCACMAGUGACGGUACCUGCAGAAGAAGCGCCGGCUAACUACGUGCCAGCAGCCGCGGUAAUACGUAGGGCGCAAGCGUUGUCCGGAAUUAUUGGGCGUAAAGAGCUCGUAGGCGGUUUGUCGCGUCUGCUGUGAAAGCCCGGGGCUCAACCCCGGGUCUGCAGUGGGUACGGGCAGACUAGAGUGCAGUAGGGGAGACUGGAAUUCCUGGUGUAGCGGUGAAAUGCGCAGAUAUCAGGAGGAACACCGAUGGCGAAGGCAGGUCUCUGGGCUGUUACUGACGCUGAGGAGCGAAAGCAUGGGGAGCGAACAGGAUUAGAUACCCUGGUAGUCCAUGCCGUAAACGUUGGGCACUAGGUGUGGGGGACAUUCCACGUUCUCCGCGCCGUAGCUAACGCAUUAAGUGCCCCGCCUGGGGAGUACGG
rnacentral:rRNA from 1 species